rnacentral:rRNA from 2 species
AGACCCGAAACCCGGUGAUCUAGCCAUGGGCAGGUUGAAGGUUGGGUAACACUAACUGGAGGACCGAACCGACUAAUGUUGAAAAAUUAGCGGAUGACCUGUGGCUGGGGGUGAAAGGCCAAUCAAACCGGGAGAUAGCUGGUUCUCCCCGAAAGCUAUUUAGGUAGCGCCUCGUGAAUUCAUCUCCGGGGGUAGAGCACUGUUUCGGCUAGGGGGCCAUCCCGGCUUACCAACCCGAUGCAAACUGCGAAUACCGGAGAAUGUUAUCACGGGAGACACACGGCGGGUGCUAACGUCCGUCGUGAAGAGGGAAACAACCCAGACCGCCAGCUAAGGUCCCAAAGUCAUGGUUAAGUGGGAAACGAUGUGGGAAGGCCCAGACAGCCAGGAUGUUGGCUUAGAAGCAGCCAUCAUUUAAAGAAAGCGUAAUAGCUCACUGGUCGAGUCGGCCUGCGCGGAAGAUGUAACGGGGCUAAACCAUGCACCGAAGCUGCGGCAGCGAACGUAUCACCCAAGACAACUUUACGGAGUUGACGAUUGACGGAGCGAAGCGACGUCAAAGCGUUCAUUAAAGUCGAGUUGGCUUAGGGAUACGUUCGUUGGGUAGGGGAGCGUUCUGUAAGCCUGUGAAGGUGUGUCGUGAGGCAUGCUGGAGGUAUCAGAAGUGCGAAUGCUGACAUAAGUAACGAUAAAGCGGGUGAAAAGCCCGCUCGCCGGAAGACCAAGGGUUCCUGUCCAACGUUAAUCGGGGCAGGGUGAGUCGACCCCUAAGGCGAGGCCGAAAGGCGUAGUCGAUGGGAAACGGGUUAAUAUUCCCGUACUUGGUGUUACUGCGAAGGGGGGACGGAGAAGGCUAUGUUGGCCGGGCGACGGUUGUCCCGGUUUAAGCGUGUAGGUGUGUGUUCCAGGUAAAUCCGGUUCACUUUAACACUGAGGCGUGACGACGAGGCACUACGGUGCUGAAGCAACAAAUGCCCUGCUUCCAGGAAAAGCCUCUAAGCAUCAGGUAACACGAAAUCGUACCCCAAACCGACACAGGUGGUCAGGUAGAGAAUACCAAGGCGCUUGAGAGAACUCGGGUGAAGGAACUAGGCAAAAUGGUGCCGUAACUUCGGGAGAAGGCACGCUGACACGUAGGUGAAGUGAUUUACUCAUGGAGCUGAAGUCAGUCGAAGAUACCAGCUGGCUGCAACUGUUUAUUAAAAACACAGCACUGUGCAAACACGAAAGUGGACGUAUACGGUGUGACGCCUGCCCGGUGCCGGAAGGUUAAUUGAUGGGGUCAGCGUAAGCGAAGCUCCUGAUCGAAGCCCCGGUAAACGGCGGCCGUAACUAUAACGGUCCUAAGGUAGCGAAAUUCCUUGUCGGGUAAGUUCCGACCUGCACGAAUGGCGUAAUGAUGGCCAGGCUGUCUCCACCCGAGACUCAGUGAAAUUGAACUCGCUGUGAAGAUGCAGUGUACCCGCGGCAAGACGGAAAGACCCCGUGAACCUUUACUAUAGCUUGACACUGAACAUUGAGCCUUGAUGUGUAGGAUAGGUGGGAGGCUUUGAAGUGUGGACGCCAGUCUGCAUGGAGCCGACCUUGAAAUACCACCCUUUAAUGUUUGAUGUUCUAACGUGGACCCGUAAUCCGGGUUGCGGACAGUGUCUGGUGGGUAGUUUGACUGGGGCGGUCUCCUCCUAAAGAGUAACGGAGGAGCACGAAGGUUGGCUAAUCCUGGUCGGACAUCAGGAGGUUAGUGCAAUGGCAUAAGCCAGCUUGACUGCGAGCGUGACGGCGCGAGCAGGUGCGAAAGCAGGUCAUAGUGAUCCGGUGGUUCUGAAUGGAAGGGCCAUCGCUCAACGGAUAAAAGGUACUCCGGGGAUAACAGGCUGAUACCGCCCAAGAGUUCAUAUCGACGGCGGUGUUUGGCACCUCGAUGUCGGCUCAUCACAUCCUGGGGCUGAAGUAGGUCCCAAGGGUAUGGCUGUUCGCCAUUUAAAGUGGUACGCGAGCUGGGUUUAGAACGUCGUGAGACAGUUCGGUCCCUAUCUGCCGUGGGCGCUGGAGAACUGAGGGGGGCUGCUCCUAGUACGAGAGGACCGGAGUGGACGCAUCACUGGUGUUCGGGUUGUCAUGCCAAUGGCACUGCCCGGUAGCUAAAUGCGGAAGAGAUAAGUGCUGAAAGCAUCUAAGCACGAAACUUGCCCCGAGAUGAGUUCUCCCUGAGACUUAGAGUCUCCUGAAGGAACGUUGAAGACGACGACGUUGAUA